rnacentral:rRNA from 1 species
AACGCUGGCGGCGUGCCUAAUACAUGCAAGUCGAACGGUCUUUCUAUGGAAGCUUGCUUCCACUGAGAAGAUAGUGGCGAACGGGUGAGUAACACGUGGGUAACCUGCCCAUAAGAGGGGGAUAACAUCCGGAAACGGGUGCUAAUACCGCAUAGUUUUCUUGAUCGCAUGAUUGAGAAGAAAGAUGGCCUUUGUGCUGUCGCUUAUGGAUGGACCCGCGGCGUAUUAGUUAGUUGGUGAGGUAACGGCUCACCAAGACGAUGAUACGUAGCCGACCUGAGAGGGUGAUCGGCCACAUUGGGACUGAGACACGGCCCAAACUCCUACGGGAGGCAGCAGUAGGGAAUCUUCCGCAAUGGACGAAAGUCUGACGGAGCAACGCCGCGUGAGUGAAGAAAAGGUUUUCGGAUCGUAAAACUCUGUUGUCAGAGAAGAACAAGUUGGAGAGUAACUGCUCCAGCCUUGACGGUAUCUGACCAGAAAGCCACGGCUAACUACGUGCCAGCCGCCGC